rnacentral:rRNA from 1 species
CGCUGAGUUUGAUCCUGGCUCAGGAUGAACGCUAGCGGCAGGCUUAACACAUGCAAGUCGAGGGGUAUAGUUCUUCGGAACUAGAGACCGGCGCACGGGUGCGUAACGCGUAUGCAAUCUACCUUUUACAGAGGGAUAGCCCAGAGAAAUUUGGAUUAAUACCUCAUAGUAUAGUACAACCGCAUGGUUGAACUAUUAAAGUCACAACGGUAAAAGAUGAGCAUGCGUCCCAUUAGCUAGUUGGUAAGGUAACGGCUUACCAAGGCAACGAUGGGUAGGGGUCCUGAGAGGGAGACUCCCCACACUGGUACUGAGACACGGGACCAGACUCCGUACGGGAGGCAGCAGUGA